GAGGAGGGGGUUCUCCCCCGCUCGGAGCGCGCGACUGGGGAAGAAGCUGGCGGGAAGCCGGGCCGCGCGCCGAGGAAUCGAUGAUUCGGCCUGUGGACCGGGUCACUGCGGCGGGACCCGUGGAGCGCCGAUAGCAUGGAUAGGCUCAGAGGGGCGCAGGGUUUUGGCGGCUUCCCGAGUUCCCCUCGCCGACCGCCAUGUCACAUCUUACGGAAGAGGCGGGGGCUGCCGCGGAGAGGAUAUUUUUUGUUUUGUUUUGUUUUCACAAGAAUCACCUGGAUGCUUCUAAAGAGGAUGUCUACCAGACCCCAUGCCACACUAAUUAGCUCAGAAGUGGGAACCCUUCGCUAGCUCCAUGUUUUGUUCACGUGACUCUCAACCUGGUGUGGCCUGGACUCCAGUCCCUGGCUCAAGGAAGGUCCAGACUGACAUAGAAAAUCCCUGCUCACCAGCCUUGACCUUGGGAGAAAGCCCCUGACCUGUGAGUGGACAGAAGGCCUGGUGGUCAGCCCGUGGGAGCCCUGGAGCGUGCACUGCUGGAGCAGCUCAGAAAAAGCUGAGAAGCCAAGACUUGACUGUCAGUCCUGGAGAAUUAGAACAUGCCUGCGAAAUUUCAGUCCACUCUGAGGAAGCAGGGGUGCCCACAAGGAAACCUAGUGGGUGGGGUUCUGGCUGGGACUCAUCUGGAGUUCCCAGGGCAGAUGCCCGGCCCCAGCUUAUAGACCAUGAUGCGGCUGGGCUUCCGUGUCUGAUUCUUAAGUGCCUCAGGUACUUUGCUUUGCCAGGAGGAAUGACAUUACAAUCAGCAUUGUAAAAGUCUGUGGCCUUUGAGAGAGUAAUUUUACUUCUAAGACUCUCCUCUACAGAGAAGUGUGCACACUGUUCCCAGUGGAGUCUAUAAAGAUAGCAAAGAGCAAAGACUUAAAACAGAAUGGCUCUGGGUUUGAAGUGUUGUGUAUCUAGACAAUGAACAGCCCACCUUUAAACAAGCCCCACAUGGACUGAAGCGGAGGCAGCUCCAAAUGUAUUAGGUGACAGUGUGCCACAUGGCUCUGUGUGAUGGUAAGAUUAUAUGUGUACAUGUCAUCUCGAAAGGAGAAUUCGGCUUAUCUCUGGGGAGAGAGUCUGCAUCUUUUCUCAUUUGUACCAAGUAUGGAGUGUGUAUCUAUCUCUCUGUCAGAAAUGUCAAGGGAAGGGUUCACCAUUGACCUGAUGCUCACAAAGGUUAGGAACCAAUGCCAACCACAAUGCCCACCUCUACCUUCAGGAGACAGUAAACGCCUUAGAAUACAAAACCCAUAAACAACCAAGACUGUGGUGCCUGCUAGGGCUGGGCCUGAGCUGCACAUAGAGGCUAGGUACCGAACAGCUGCCAUGGUAAACUGGCACAGUUAGGCACGCGGCCAGGUUCACACGCCCUCUGCCCUGACUUUAAAGACAGCAGUCUUGGCCCAGCUUCCCUCGUCCCCUAUGUAUGGGCAGAGAGCUAUACUUGCUGGGUUUCCAGCUCUUAUAUUUGGACUCCUCUUCUUUUUUCUCUUUUUGAGAGAGGGUCUCACUAUGUAUUCGUGGCUGCUCUGGAACUUCCUGGACCAGGCUGGCCUUGAUGUAGAUCUCUGCCUUCUAAAAAAUAAAAAUAUGUUUUAUGUG
ensembl:processed_transcript RIKEN cDNA E130307A14 gene